AAGCGGGCCUUCCACAAUGCUGGUAGCCACAGCAGUAGCUCUUCAAAUCUUUCCCUGCAUCGUCAUGUCCUAGAGCAAGAAGCAACAUCAUUACAUUGCAUCCCUUUCUGGGUGAAUUAUGGGGUUGUGGGGAGGGAAUGGCUGUUCUCUGUAACUAUGUGGUGCUGCCAUUUCCCCCUAGUAUUGCACCAGGAAAAGGACGGAACACAAUGAUGUUCUUCUCAGUAGCCACUUCCUUAAUGGAAGGUUGGCUCUUCAUUUCAGAUACCCCCCCUCCCCAUGCAAUGUUGAUAUAAUGCAGUGAGCCCUUUCUCACAAUCCCAUGAGCAGACUUUGAUGGCAGGUGGUGGGUAAGGCUAGAGCAGCUUACCUUUCCUGCAGACCUUGCAGAGUUGCUGGAUGUGCGGAUUGAGUGCCCAGACAAGCUGCUGCCGCCCUCGACAGCAUGGGGGUUCAGGGGCCGGGACGCAUCUGAGGAGCGCAAGUACCUGGUGCAUUGUAGGGAUCCCUCCCAGAGACGGCUGGGCCCCUUUGUCAGCACUGGCUGGGAGCAGCAUUCAUUCCCUUAACCUCAUUUAUUAGCCUGGCUUCUUAGCUGGGUUUGCUGCCAAGGUGCUGCCCGGAGCCCCGGGUCUCCCAGCGGUUCGGGUACCCUAACCAGGUCUUGGCUACUCAUGAGAACAGCCUCAGCACUGUAUCCAAUCCAUUGCCAAUAUCAGAAGAAUUUCUCUCCAGAACCUUAUCUAAGAAAAAUGCCCCUAUAGGAGCAUUUAUAUUGCCUCAGAACCAAUUAUCAGUUGUAUGUGAUACACAGCCCUAACAUAAAUUGCAUUGAGCAAUGAAUGCUAAAUGGGGAGUUGUACUCCAGCACUCUUACCAUGUUCUCUCAAGCACUCCAAAAUCUUGGCUACUAAUCCAGAUACAAAAUAAGCACCUGAAGAGCAGAGAAAGGGAGACAUUGAGGAGGAGGUAAUGAAAAAGGGAGAUGUCAUUUAACAACACAGGGCUUAAGGUAUUCUUGACAGGAAAGUAGUGGGUGGGCAACAUGGUCAGGGAGUGUGGCAGAAGGAAGCAGGGCAAUACCCAGAGCAGGGACCUGAGGAAACAAUAGGCAAUAGACGUUUCAACAGAAGCUUGGAAAGAAGGAAUUGGUUAAGGAAAAGGUUGCGUUGUUGCAGCAGCCCUUGAAACAACUACAAUUCCCAGGAUACUCUGGGCCUUUCCCAGGACAGCAGGAAGCAUAUGGUAGUGGUGGGGAGGGGAACCUACCAGAAGUUAUUUUUAAAAGUCAAACCGUGGGACAUACUGUCCCCUCAUUGUUGGGAAUGAAAACAAAGAAAACCCUGACCUGUCUCCUGCUGGGUGUCAGAAGUGACUUUGAUGGCUUUUCACUGUCAAAAACAUGAAACAGAGGAAACAAAGGAAUAAAUACGGACUUGGUGAAAAACUCAAGAGUGACACAUCCUGGUUGUGACAGAGAUAUCCUGUAUACUCACAGGAUAAAUCCAUUUAACUGAAAUGUUAGCUCCACCAAUUUCAGAUGUGCUCAGCGAUUCUCCAAGCAAGACUGAAAACUGUUAAUAAACAUCAGAAGUGCAUGAGUACAAGUUUUUGGUGUGCCAUUGUGGCUCACAAAUAUGGCUCAUUAUUUUAUGACUGAACUGGUCACAGUAGACAUGCACCAUUUCCAAGAUUUCUUGUGGGGGAUGUGCAUGAAUUGAAACGAAGACAACCAAUCAAGAUGAAUCAUGGUCAACCAUACUGACUAUACAAAUGGCCACUGCACAUGUGUGGAGAAAAUGUGUGUGCUGCCACCAUGUGAGGGGUACGGGGGGGGGGGGAGCUGCCGCAGCAGGAAGCUACAUGGGGCAGCAGAGGAGCAGGUGUGGACCUGCUCUUCUCACUUUUAAAGGUUUCGAAUCUGUGCACGAAUCUUGAUUCAUGCACAUCAUUGUCUUCCUCUGUGGAGGCCCACAAUAGUUCCCCCCCCCAUUAAUAUUUGUGAACUCCUACCAUAGGUUUAUGAUCAUUUAAAAAUAUGUAGAAGAAACUAUGUUUUGAAGUCAUUUUAACCAUUCCAAACUGAUUAAAAGAUCACUUUAGAAUGUGUUCAUUCAAUAUUUAAAUAACACCUCAAAUACAGCUGUUUAAUGGAAAUGUCUUACUUAAGACUUAUGGAAACACUUCUAAUAGAGAUCCAUGCUUUUGCUAGGAAUACAUUCCUAUCAAGUGUGGAGCAACUGAGACAUUGUCUGAAGAAGUAUUUCCAGCAUCUUUUGGCUUCAUAGGAUACCAUCCAUGGGAGGGGAAAAUACUGAUUGUCUGCUUUUCCUACAAAAAAGAUAUAGGAAAUAGACUUGAUGAGAUCAGGAUGUUUUCAAUGCAAGGGCCUUUUCGGUUGUGGCUCCACAGCUUUAGAAUGCCCUCCCUGAAGAGCUUCGCCAUGCUCCCUCUCAGUGUUUUAAAAAAACAACUAAAACCACAUCUUUUUAAAGAUACUUUUUAAUGUUUCAUCUGUUGUGUCUAUCUGGUAGGUUCUGUUUUUAUAAUUCUUAGAUUUUAGCUUUAAGAAUUUAAUUUGGAAUUUUAAAGCCUAAUUAUGAUUGUGGUUUUAGCUUGGAUUUUUAACUUGUUCCAUUUGGUUAAUUUUAUUAGUCUGAUUUUAUGUUGUAACUGUUUUAUACAUGUUGCAAGCCACCCCAAGCAGUAAUGUACUGGAGGGGCGGGGUAUAAAUAUUUUAAAUAAAUAAACAGACAAAUAAAUAAA